GUGGGGAAUUUUGGACAAUGGGCGCAAGCCUGAUCCAGCCAUGCCGCGUGCGGGAAGAAGGCCUUCGGGUUGUAAACCGCUUUCGGACGGAAAGAAAUCGCCAGGGCCAAUACCCCUGGUGGAUGACGGUACCGUAAGAAGAAGCACCGGCUAACUACGUGCCAGCAGCCGCGGUAAUACGUAGGGUGCGAGCGUUAAUCGGAAUUACUGGGCGUAAAGCGUGCGCAGGCGGCUUUUUAAGCCAGACGUGAAAUCCCCGGGCUUAACCUGGGAACUGCGUUUGGAACUGGAAAGCUAGAGUGUGUCAGAGGGGGGUGGAAUUCCACGUGUAGCAGUGAAAUGCGUAGAGAUGUGGAGGAACACCGAUGGCGAAGGCAGCCCCCUGGGAUAACACUGACGCUCAUGCACGAAAGCGUGGGGAGCAAACAGGAUUAGAAACCCCAGUAGUCC
rnacentral:rRNA from 1 species